rnacentral:rRNA from 1 species
UACGUAGGCAGCGAGCGUUGUUCGGAAUUACUGGGCGUAAAGAGCUCGUAGGUGGUUUGUCGCGUUGUUCGUGAAAUCUCACGGCUUAACUGCGAGCCUGCGGUCGAUACGGGCAGGCUAGAGUUCGGUAGGGGAGACUGGAAUUCCUGGUGUAGCGGUGAAAUGCGCAGAUAUCAGGAGGAACACCGAUGGCGAAGGCAGGUCUCUGGGCCGAUACUGACGCUGAGGAGCGAAAGCGUGGGGAGCGAACAGG